rnacentral:rRNA from 1 species
UAGGCGGAAUGUUGCGUAAAGGGAAAGGUCGUAGUCAAACCCUACAGCCACACGAACUCUAAGUCAGCCACGAAUCGGCUAUCCCAACUAACGGCGGGAGUGACUCCACGGAGGGUGUAAGACCCGUGUGGGCGUGUGUUAAAGUUGUAUGGGCUCGGCCUCUUCCCUGAGAGUCGCGUUGCUUGAGCAUGCAGCGCUAAGCAGGUCGUAAACUCGAUCUAAGGCUAAAUAUAUCCACAGGACCGAUAGCAAACAAGUACCGUGAGGGAAAGUUGAAAAGUACUCUGAAGAGAGAGUCAAAAGACCGU